CAAAGCUCAUUUAUGCAGUCUGCUAAUGUACUCUCUAAAAAUUUCAGAAACUUCAUCAAACAAUUAACUAGAAAAUCCUCAUCUGAUUGGAACAGUAAAAUUGUUAAUCAUCCCAGACAAAGUGGUGGCCACAACUGCGGACCACUCAUCUUAAAGGUCAGUGGUGUUAGUUUGCAGAAGUAUAUUUGCAGCACAAAGACAUCAGUAUGGUAGAAACAACACAAGAGGCUAAUACUGCGUUUAGAAGACAUAUAGCAAUUCUUCUAAUGAAGGAGUCAGAAAACGUGGAAGACUACUGCAUAUACUGCAACCUCGUCAACUGUGAAAAGGAAAGUGAGGAUUGCACGAUGGUACAGUGUGAUUCUUGCAAGAGGUGGGCACAUAUGCCCUGCAUUACACAAGGAACCAAUCAAGACUACCUGACUGAUGACAAGAAAGAGUACAACUGCAAAAAAUGUGCAUAGUUCACUUCUUUACCCCCCCCCCAAAAUUGUUUAAAUGCCUCUUGUUCAAAACAUAAUGCAACCAAAAGACAUUUUUAAUGUAUAUACCAGAUUAUAAUAAUGUUCUUUACUUUAAAAAAUUGUUCUCUGUAUUUGUGUCCAUGUAUAUGAUGCAAAUUGGAAGAGUAAAGUAAAAAAACAAAAGUGGUCUCACCUUGGGCUCAGGGGCAUGCUCCGUACCCCCAAUCCUUACCUCCCUUUUUCACAGAUUCACACAAAA